rnacentral:lncRNA from 10 species
UUUCACUGAGACUUUGGUUCACUCACAACCUGACUAUCAGCAUUGCUUCUGUGCCCUAGCCUUGGCCAAUGAGAACCUCCUGCCUCCAGUUAUUCGGCAGACACUUGGUAACUUCCCUUCUACCACUUCACAAUAACUCACAUGCUGUAGGCAUUCCAACGCCCACUCUCAUAAGCAAACUUCAAGUCUUUUUCAAGGUAUUACUUCAUAAAGCCAGACAUGUUUUCUGCCUUGUUCACAGAAGAUUCUCACUGCCUAAAACAGUGUCCACC